UUUCCAUCGCUCCUCGGCUUCGUGAAAGUGGCGAGGACCGUGCGCGCUUCCGGAGAAACGGGACGAUGGCAACUUCCGCGGAAGGAUCUCCGCGGAUCCCCCGAAAUUACGAAUUAAUUAACCGACGGACCGCCAAAGCAACGGGGAUGUGUAUACGUGUUGGGGAAGGGAGGAUUGAGUGAUUUCGUUUCUACCAGGAUUGCAAAGUGAAUGAAAUGCGUAAUGCGCUUUGUGCUCGAAAUUUUGAGGGA